rnacentral:misc_RNA from 1 species
CUGGGGGUUCAUUUUGUUGACCUCUAACAGAGGAACCGGUUGAUGUUUUCCAAAACAAUAUAUCUCCAUCCGCAUAUCCAACUGCAAGAAUGGACCCAUUUGAAGAUGCCCAGCAAAGGGCACUUAUCUCUUUCUCUUGCAAGUGAUUAUAAGAUGCAUUGCCUUGAAGAUUAGUAUCUUCUCCACUUUGGGAAUCAACACUUCCAUCCUUCAAUUGAAGAUCCUUACCGCCUCCAACAAAAAGAAUUCGAGCUUCAUUAAAAUCCCACAGAAUUAUCAGUCCAUUCUCAUAUGCAAUCAGC